rnacentral:rRNA from 1 species
UACGUAGGGACCAAGCGUUGUUCGGAUUUACUGGGCGUAAAGGGCGCGUAGGCGGCGCGGUAAGUCACUUGUGAAAUCUCUGAGCUUAACUCAGAACGGCCAAGUGAUACUGCAGUGCUAGAGUGUGGAAGGGGCAAUCGGAAUUCUUGGUGUAGCGGUGAAAUGCGUAGAUAUCGAGAGGAACACCUGAGGUGAAGACGGGUUGCUGGGCCGACACUGACGCUGAGGAGCGAAAGCGUGGGGAGCGAACAGG